rnacentral:pre_miRNA from 1 species
UCGUGUCUUCUUCAGUGGUUCUUGGUUAGUCUUUCUUUGGAUAUUUUGGAGACCAAAACUUGACAAAAUAUCCAAAGAAAGACUAACCAAGAACCACUGAAGAAGAUACGAU